AUGUGGCAGGAAGGAGAAAACACCCAACUCCUCCUUCAGCCCUCGAGUCUGCCAGAGAAGGAAACCCUUGUGACUGUCCCCACUGUGGCCUGCAUGAUGCUUCUCCUUGGGCUCCUUGCUUAUGGGUCAGGAGUGGAUUCUCAGUCUGUGGUGACCCAGGAACCAUCACUCUCAGGGUCUCCUGGAGGGAUGAUCACACUCACCUGUGGCCUGAGCUCUGGCUCAGUCCCUACCAGUCAUUACCCCAGCUGGUACCAGCAGACUCCAGGCCAGGCUCCACACAUGCUCAUCUGCAGCCCAAACACCUGCCAUUCUGGGGUCCCUGGUCACUCCUCUGGCUCCAUUCUUGGGAGCAAAGUUGCCCUCCAUCACCGGGACUCAGUAGAUGAUGACUCUGAUCAUUACUGUGUGCUGCACAUGGGUAGUGGCAACUCCACAGUGAUUUAA